GCGGCCUCCGGCGUCUGCUCGGGACCGAGGCGCUUCUGGGCCGCAGCAGCCGGUUGGCUGGGACUGGAUCCCCGACUUCAGGAGACUGUGUCAAUCAUGCAGAAAUAGCAUCCACAUCUAGGACACACUACAGCCCAAAUACUGCACCUGUGCUAUAAACAAGCACACACGAGCUGAUCUACAUUCAUCUUGGGAAAACCUCAGGUUUUGCUGAUAGGCAUUAAUUUCAUCAUUCUUUCAUGCUCACAACCAUCACAUUUUCUCCAUGAUUCUACAAUAAUCAAGCAAGGAAGUAUGAUGAGCACAAAGGCUUUUGUAAAAGAACGAAUGGCAGCAGAAACUAAAAACAGAGAACUGCAGCACAAAACGUUAUAACUAAGUUCCCUGUAUGCAGUGAAAUCUUUUCAUUUAAAAAGGGUAAAACAUGCAUGGUGUUGGAUGCUACACAGGAACAUUCUUCCAGGUCUGCCGCUCUGAGAAUCUACUUUAUCCAGUGAUUUGAUUGAAAUCAAAUAAAGCUUUUCUACUGUUCCUUUUAUGUCUGGGAAUA